AGAGCGAACGCUGGCGGCAGGCCUAAUACAUGCAAGUCGAGCGGUCCCUUCGGGGGCAGCGGCGGACGGGUGAGUAACGCGUGGGAACGUGCCCUUUGGUACGGAACAACUGAGGGAAACUUCAGCUAAUACCGUAUGUGCCCUUCGGGGGAAAGAUUUAUCGCCAUUGGGAGCGGCCCGCGUUGGAUUAGGUAGUUGGCGAGGUAAAGGCUCACCAAGCCUACGAUCCAUAGCUGGUCUGAGAGGAUGAUCAGCCACACUGGGACUGAGACACGGCCCAGACUCCUACGGGAGGCAGCAGUAGGGAAUCUUGCGCAAUGGGCAAAGCCUGACGCAGCCAUGCCGCGUGAAUGAUGAAGGUCUUAGGAUUAGUAAAAUUCUUUCACCGGGACGAAUAAUGACGGUACCGGAGAAGAACGCCCGACUAACUUCGUGCCAGCAGCCGC
rnacentral:rRNA from 1 species